rnacentral:rRNA from 1 species
GAUGAACGCUGGCGGCGUGCUUAACACAUGCAAGUCGAACGGAGUGCUCAUGACGGAGGAUUCGUCCAACGGAUUGAGUUACUUAGUGGCGGACGGGUGAGUAACACGUGGGGAACCUGCCCCUAAGUCUGGGAUACCAUUUGGAAACAGGUGCUAAUACCGGAUAAUAAAGCAGAUCGCAUGAUCAGCUUUUGAAAGGCGGCGUAAGCUGUCGCUAAGGGAUGGCCCCGCGGUGCAUUAGCUAGUUGGUAAGGUAACGGCUUACCAAGGCGACGAUGCAUAGCCGAGUUGAGAGACUGAUCGGCCACAUUGGGACUGAGACACGGCCCAA